GCUUACGGCCACACCGCCUGCUUCACGCCCGAUCUCGUUUGAUCUCGGAAGCUAAGAUAGGUUGGGCUUGGUUAGUACUUGGAUGGGAGACCGCCUGGGAAUACCAGGUGCUGUGGCUU
rnacentral:rRNA from 1 species